AUUGAACGCUGGCGGAAUGCUUUACACAUGCAAGUCGAACGGCAGCACGGACUUCGGUCUGGUGGCGAGUGGCGAACGGGUGAGUAAUGUAUCGGAACGUGCCCAGUCGUGGGGGAUAACGUAGUGAAAAUUACGCUAAUACCGCAUACGAUCUAUGGAUGAAAGCGGGGGAUCGCAAGACCUCGCGCGAUUGGAGCGGCCGAUAUCAGAUUAGGUAGUUGGUGGGGUAAAGGCGCACCAAGCCAACGAUCUGUAGCUGGUCUGAGAGGACGACCAGCCACACUGGAACUGAGACACGGUCCAGACUCCUACGGGAGGAAGCAGUGGGGAAUUUUGGACAAUGGGCGAAAGCCUGAUCCAGCCAUUCCGCGUGCAGGAUGAAGGCCCUCGGGUUGUAAACUGCUUUUGUACAGAACGAAAAGGUUUCUACUAAUACUAGAAGCUCAUGACGGUACUGUAAGAAUAAGCACCGGCUAACUACGUGCCAGCAGCCGCCGCCG
rnacentral:rRNA from 1 species